rnacentral:rRNA from 1 species
CAGUAGCCGCGGGAAUACGAAGGGUGCAAGCGUUACUCGGAACUACUGGGCGUAAAGCGUGCGUAGGUGGUGGUUUAAGUCCGUUGUGAAAGCCCUGAGCUCAACCUGGGAAUUGCAGUGGAUACUGGGUCACUAGAGUGUGGUAGAGGAUAGUGGAAUUUCCGGUGUAGCAGUGAAAUGCGUAGAGAUCGGAAGGAACAUCUGUGGCGAAGGCGACUAUCUGGGCCAACACUGACACUGAGGCACGAAAGCGUGGGGAGCAAACAGGAUUAGAUACCCCUGUAGUCCCUGUCUCUUAUAC